rnacentral:rRNA from 1 species
AGUAAGGGAUCGUACCCGAAACCGACACAGGUGGUCAGGUCGAGAAGACUAAGGCGCUUGAGAGAACUCUGCUGAAGGAACUAGGCAGAAUAGUACCGUAACUUCGGGAGAAGGUACGCUGUUGAUGGUGAAGGAUUUACUCCGUAAGCUAUCGGCAGCCUCAGAAACUAGGCCGCUGCAACUGUUUAUUAAAAACACAGCACUCUGCAAACACGAAAGUGGACGUAUAGGGUGUGAUGCCUGCCCGGUGCUGGAAGGUUAAUUGAUGGGGUUAGCGAAAGCGAAGCUCUUGAUCGAAGCCCCAGUAAACGGCGGCCGUAACAAUAACGGUCCUAAGGUAGCGAAAUUCCUUGUCGGGUAAGUUCCGACCUGCACGAAUGGCAUAAUGAUGGCGGCGCUGUCUCCAGCAGAGACUCAGUGAAAUCGAAAUCGCGGUGAAGAUGCCGUGUACCCGCGGCUAGACGGAAAGACCCCGUGAACCUUUACUGCAGCUUUGCAUUGAACUUUGACCUUACUUGUGUAGGAUAGGUGGGAGGCUUUGAAGCUCGGACGCCAGUUCGAGUGGAGCCAUCCUUGAAAUACCACCCUGGUAAUGUCGAGGUUCUAACCCAGAUCCGUUAUCCGGAUCGGGGACAGUGUAUGGUGGGUAGUUUGACUGGGGCGGUCUCCUCCUAAAGAGUAACGGAGGAGUACGAAGGUGCGCUCAGCGUGGUCGGAAAUCACGCAAUGGGUAUAAAGGCAAAAGCGCGCUUAACUGCGAGACCGACAAGUCGAGCAGGUACGAAAGUAGGUCUUAGUGAUCCGGUGGUUCUGUAUGGAAGGGCCAUCGCUCAACGGAUAAAAGGUACUCUGGGGAUAACAGGCUGAUACCGCCCAAGAGUUCAUAUCGACGGCGGUGUUUGGCACCUCGAUGUCGGCUCAUCUCAUCCUGGGGCUGAAGCAGGUCCCAAGGGUAUGGCUGUUCGCCAUUUAAAGAGGUACGCGAGCUGGGUUUAGAACGUCGUGAGACAGUUCGGUCCCUAUCUACCGUGGGCAUUGGAGACUUGAGAGGAUCUGCUUCUAGUACGAGAGGACCGAAGUGGACGUACCUCUGGUGUUCGGGUUGUCACGCCAGUGGCACUGCCCGGUAGCUAUGUACGGACGGGAUAACCGCUGAAAGCAUCUAAGCGGGAAGCCUACCUUAAGAUAAGGUCUCCCUGGGGGUUUAACCCCCCUAAAGAGCCGUUAGAGACCAUGACGUUGAUAGGUUCG